CUCGACCGAGGUCAAAGCAACGGCCAUCAGAAUGGGGUGGAUCUUCGUGAUUUCCUUUCAAGGCCAGCUCAAUCUUCAACAGCAAAACCUAGUUUUCAACAGCAGAUCCCCGAGCCGAGGGAUAAUAGACCACGAGUACCUGAGCCAAGGGAUAAUAGAGCGCGAGUACCCGAGCCAAGGGAUAAUAGACCGCGAGUACACAGCAGCAGAUCCCUGAGCCGAGGGAUAAUAGACCACGAGUACCUGAGCCAAGGGAUAAUAGACCGCGAGUACCUGAGCCAAGGAAUGAUAGACAGCGAAUGAUUUAUUCAAGAGGUUCUAGACAAUACAUACCUGAAAUCAGAGAUUCAAGACAGUACAUACCCGAAGCCAGGGAUUUUAG
rnacentral:lncRNA from 1 species